GUAAAUAAAGUGAAAAAUGUGAAUAAAGUGCAAUAAGUGAAAAAGUGAAGUGCAUUAAAUCAUCAAAAAUAUCGCAAACAAUGCUUUGAAUGAUUGGAAUUUACUCACUGAAAGGAAUUGAAAUAUAAAUAUCUGGAAUAUCGAUAUACCAAAAAGAAUUUUCAAAUACUUUGCACUAAUGUUAACUUCUGCUUAUACUGGUCAAUAUUUAAUAUUCCUGGUCAAUCAGCUAUAUAUAUUGUUGAAAACGUCAAGAAUGCCACACAUUCUGGUAAACUUGCAGACUGAUGCCGAAUAAUGAA